rnacentral:lncRNA from 1 species
AUGGGCUGGAAAAUGUACAGGAAAAGAAGAAAAUCUUUGCCGAGAUUAAAAAAGCAACACAACAGAGAAAAAAGCCAUGUCCAUCUGCUGAAUCAGUAGACUCUCUGAUGGCAGAAAUGCCGUUUGCCAACACAGAUAUUGAAGAUGAAUUUGCUCUGCAUGCCACCUCCGAAGUAAAUAAGGAAAAGAAAAGAAAGAGGACUACUGGAAAGGAAAUUCCAGAAGGCAGUGAGAGAAAUAAGAAAAAGAAAAAACAGUAUCAGCCAAAUUAUUUCAUUUCUAUUCCAAUUACUAAUCCAGAGGUGAUGUUCUUUAUGAUAGUAAUUUGGUAUAACCAGAAUUACUUAAACAGCUACAUGUGUUUGUAAGAAGAGAGGUUUAUAUUUAUCUUUUUAUUCAGUUGAAUGGAUUUCAUACUGUUUUGAUUGAAGCUGGCUUAAAGUUCCACUUUGCACUUUUCCAGUAUUGCGUAUUUGGUGUUUCAUUUAAAAUAAGGAAAAGAGACAUUUCAUUUAAUAGGGAAAAACUCUGCAUUAUUUUUAGCUCUCCUUAUAGGUAAGAAUUUAAAUUUGGGUCUGUUGUUGUUUUAACAAGGCAUUUUGUAGUUUAAAAAGUUUCCAGUAAAAUAGAUAUUCUUAUUUAAAAUUCAAACAAGCUGUUGUUUUAGUGACAAGCUGUUCAAAUGGAUUCAAGAAGUGCAGUGGACUUUUAAAGAACAUGUAUUUUCCUAUAGUUGGCAUAUGUUGUCUCAUUUAACCUAGCAGUGAACAAAGAUGAUGUUUUUAUGUGCUGUGGGAUGUGUCUGAUACAACUUUGGUAUUGUGUGUCUUCAGCAAGGAAAGUAGGUGUAUUAUGUUUAAAAAGUUAAAAACAACAGUUUACCACCAUUUCCAAUUUUAGAUUUAUAUUUUAAUAUCAGAAGCUAUAUCUUUCAGAUGAUCUUUAACUCAUUCUACAUCUGUACUGUUUUCAGAGAAAGUCAAAGAUUGAGAUAAUCUGAAAUUAAAAUGAUAUAAUCUAGAUUUGAAUGUUACGAUGCAGUCUUCGAUGCUUCAAAAAGCAUUGUGUGAAGAAGAGAUUGCAGAGGCUCUAUUCUUCGUCUUCAGAAUAGAUCAGGAAUAGCCUGACACAAAUAUCUUUUAUGCCAUCUUGGUCUGAAAUGGCGUUUCUUCCUGUCUCUUCCAUCAUUUAACAGCAACAAUUAAUGCAAAGGUUACAUAAUCUGAUCUUUGAGAACUGCUGCUCACAAUUGUUAUGUUGAAUUGCUGGCUGAGUAGAAAAAAUCUUAACUAAACUUCAUUUUUAUAUGCCCUGUAUUGUUUACAAAGGUAAAGAAACAACUCUAAAUCUCAGAGCAUUUUGGGAAUU